UGGGACUUCAUAUUCAGCUUAUUUGACAUCCUACAAAGCAUCUAGAAGCUGAUUUGAAGCUCAAAGAGGUCAAAGAUUGAUCAAAGUCAACUUGAUCAAAAGGCUAGCCUUUUUAGUUUCCUAAUUUGUGUUUACUUUUUGUUUUAGGAAACUACCAUUACCUUUUUGCUUUUAUUUAUUUAUUUUCUGGAAAAAUAACUUUAAAAGGGUGUUUAUUUUAUUCUUUCCAUUGUAAAUAUAAAUAAUUCCUAAUUUAAUAUAAAGGAAUUAAUUAAUCAAACUUAGAUUAGGAAAGGAAGUAUAGUUUCAGCCAACUAGGUUUCUUUAUGUGUGGUGGCUGGUUUUCUUUAUAUUCUAGGGUUUUAUUUCAUGGCUUUGUAGCCUAUUUAAAGGCUUAGUUAUCAAUAAGAAAAAACUUGGAUUUGAUUGAGAAAAUACUUGUGAGAUUAAUUAUCUCUUUGUUCUUUGAGAACACCUAAAACACCAUUAGAGAAUUGGUUGUUUUAGCUUUACUUAUGAAUAGGUUUUCCAUCCCCUAUUGUGGCGUCUACAUUAUACCAAGGUUUCUAACCACAGGUUGGUUAGGGGUUGAGGUCAAUUCCAUUAGAACUUGAACUUAAUUAAGAUCCGGUCUAAUAUAAUACGGGUUUAGGAGCAGGUCGUCCUAGGUUCGUAUCAGAUUAUGAGGGCUUAGGUAAGAGGUUUAAGGACAACAUUGCUGCCUUUAUCCAAGGGAUAAUUCAUUCUCAAAAGGGCUUGUCCAUACCCAAAGAUACAAGGCCUAUUUUGAGCAUACAAGUGGUGGAAGCCGAUACGGAUCUAGGUAGCAGUUUUGGUGCAUUUAUGGAGUCCCGACAGCAUAAAAUGGUUCCAAUGCUUCAUGGGUUCAAUAAAUAUGUCUAAGAGGUCAUGGAAUCAGGUCAAGGUAGCUUCAAAGGCAACUAAAAAGGGGCUUUGUGCAUGGCAUGACAAAUUGACUGGUUUUGCUAUAUUACCCACUGCUUUACUGUAUUUUGCUGAGUUGGAUUUGUCUCUUUCCUCUAAGCAAGGCAACGUGUGGGACUCCAUAGAAAUCCUAUUUGGCAUCCUAAAAGGCAUAUGGAAGCUGAUUUGGAACUUAAAUUGGUCAAAGAUUUUUCAAAGUCAACUUAGUCAAAAAGACAGUAUUUUAGUUUCCUAAUUUGAUUUCUACUUUUUGUUUUAGGAAAUUACCAUUACUUUUUGGUUUUAGCGAGAUUGAAUUCUCUUUGUUCUCUUUGAACAUCUAAAACACCAUUAGCGAAUAAGUGUUUUAGUUUGACUUAUCAAUAGUAUAUCCAUCACCUAUUGUGGUGUUUUCAUUAUACCAAGGUUUCUAAUCACAGGUUGGUUAGGGGUUAAGGUGACAAUUAGAACUUGAACAAAAUUAGAUCCGGGCUUAUAUAGUACUAGUUUAGGUGCAGGUUGUCCUAGGUUCGUAUCCGGUGAGUCAAGGCCUAAGAUCUAGCCGAAAAGCAUAGUCGAUGGACAAGAUGUGAAUAUUUUAUACUACCCCUUAUUGGUCCCGAAGAACAGAGGAGGCUAGGUUAGCCAAAAGAUGUUAUCGAUUCAAGGAUGUAAGGUGCCCCUGCUUUUUCAAGGUCAGAAGGGGUAUAGAAAAUGCCCUGAGCCAAUGUUCGAGUACCAGGCACUACGGCGCUGAAGUAACCCAUGCCAUACUCUCAGGAAAAGCUAAAAUGACCUUCGACAAAAGGGUACCUGCACCUGAAACUGGCAUAGGUGGGCAGGUAGAGAAUACCUAGGGGUGCAAGACAACUCUCUCUAAGGAACUCAUAAAUAGCCUCAUAACUUCAAGAGAAGGGGUGGCUCCCCACAAAGGGGGUCACAAUGACCAGGCCCGGGUGACUGUUUUCCAAAAACACAGUUCUCCGUAAAGUCAUAAUACCAUGUAUGGAGGCUGAAGCCUGCAUAGUGCCGAAAGGUUGAGGAAGUUGGUGACUUGAUGACAUGGGAGCUGGCGACCGAAGCCCUGGUGAACAGGGGUUGUAACUAUAAUGAUCUUAAGGUAGUGAAAUACUUUGUUGGGUCAGUUUCAACGCGCACGAAAGACGUAAUGAUCUGGGCACUGACUUAAAGAGAGGCUCGGUGAAAUAGACAUGUCUAUGAAGAUGCAGACUACCUGUGCCUGGAUAGAAAUACCCUAUAAAGCUUCACUGUUCCCUGGGAUUGGCUUUGGGCCUUUCCUGCGCAGCUUAGGUGGAGGGCGAAGAAGGCCUCUUUCUAAAGGGGCCUGAGCCAUCAGUGAGAUACCACUCUAGAAGAGCUAGAAUUCAAACCUUGUGUCAGGACCUAUGGGCCAAGGAACAGUCUCAGGUAGACAGUUUCUAUGGGGCAUAGGCCUCCUAAAAGGUAACAGGGGCAUUCAAAGGUUUCUCGGGCCAGACGGAGAUUGGCCCUCGAGUGCAAAAGGGGAAGGGAGCUUAACUGCAAGACCCACCCAUCAAGUAGGGAUGAAAGUCGGCCUUAGUGAUCCAACAGUGUCGAGUGGAAGGAUCGUUGUUCAACAGAUAAAAGUUACUCUAGGGAUAACAGGCUGAUCUUCCCCAAGAGCUCACAUCGACGGGAAGGUUUGGCACCUCGAUGUCGGCUUUUCGCCACCUGGGGCUGUAGUAUGUUCCAAGGGUUGGGUUGUUCGCCCAUGAAAAUGGUGGGUUCAAAAUGUCAUGAGACAAUUCGGUCUAUAUCUGGUGUGGGCAUUAGAGCAUUGGGAGGAUCCUUCCCUAGUACGAGCGGACCGGGAAGGAUGUACCUCUGGUGUACUAGUUAUUGUGCCCACCGUAAACACCAGGUAGCCAAGUGCAGAGUGGAUAACUGCUAAAAGCAUCUAAGUAGUAAGCCCACCCCCAGAUGAGUGCUCUCCUAUUUUGACUUCCCUAGAGCUUCCGGUAGCACAGCUAAGACAGCGAUGGGUUUUUCGCCCCUGAGGGGGUGAAGUGACCGAAGUUUUGAAAAUUCAAAAGAAGAUCACGACGAGAUGAGUCGUUUAUCAUUAUGAUAGGUGUCAAGUGGAAGUGCAGUGAUGUAUGCAGCUGAGGCAUCCUAAUAGACCGGUAGACUUGAGC
rnacentral:rRNA from 1 species